rnacentral:rRNA from 1 species
GACGUAGGGGGCCAGCGUUGCUCGGAAUUACUGGGUGUAAAGGGUUCGUAGGCGGUGUGGCAAGUCGGGUGUGAAAUCUCUGGGCUCAACCCAGAGUCUGCUUCCGAAACUGCUGUGCUUGAGUGUGGGAGAGGCGCGUGGAAUUGCAGGUGUAGCGGUGAAAUGCGUAGAUAUCUGCAGGAACACCCGUGGCGAAAGCGGCGCGCUGGACCACUACUGACGCUGAGGAACGAAAGCUAGGGGAGCAAACAGG